rnacentral:rRNA from 1 species
GACGAAGGGGGCUAGCGUUGUUCGGAAUUACUGGGCGUAAAGCGCGUGUAGGCGGUUGUUCAAGUCAGGUGUGAAAGCCUUGAGCUCAACUCAAGAAAUGCACUUGAUACUGGAUGACUAGAGGACCGGAGAGGAUAGUGGAAUUCCCAGUGUAGUGGUGAAAUAACGUAGAGAUUGGGAAGAACACCAGUGGGCGAAAGGCGGCCUAUCUGGGACGGUU